CCCAUGAUAUCGAACAGAUCCUUCCGGAACCACGAGACUCAACCGAAAGAACAAAUGCCUCACGAAUGUUUACAUAUUGACAACAAUUAUUUCCACCCCUUAAACCUCACCAAGGGAACUACUCACACAUAUUGGAAAACGUAAAUGCGAAAUAAAAUGAACACAUGAAUGAAAGGAAAUUUGAAAUACUUGAUAUAAAAAUACCUAAGGCAACAACCUUGGCUUUGUUCGUCACAACGGAAUUGAAAUGCGAAAAGCAACUAAAUUGUUUGGUGCGAAAAAUAUAAAAGAACUAAAAGUAAAUUGUUUUCUUGGUGAACUAACAAAAGUCUAAGCCUAGAAGAAUACUAAAACUACUAUGCAAGUAAUGAAAAACUCGUGGAUCCCUCUCCUCUAAAAA
rnacentral:lncRNA from 1 species